CUUUUGGGGAAGCGCAGUAGGUAAAAUUUCGCAAUGGGGGAAAAUCUGGAAGGACCAUUGCGGGUGAGAGGUGAAAGUCUUUGGGGGUUAAAAAUUCUUUUUGGGGAGGAAAAACAUGACGUAUCUCAAAGAGANNCUNG
rnacentral:rRNA from 1 species